rnacentral:tRNA from 1 species
GCCGGGUUAGCUCAGUUGAUAGAGCCGGCGCACAUAUAUAGAGGUUUACUUCUCGACGCAGCAGCCGUGGGUUCGACUCCGACAUGUGGCC